AACGAACGCUGGCGGCAGGCUUAACACAUGCAAGUCGAACGGUUGUAGCAAUACAGCAGUGGCGCACGGGUGAGUAACACGUGGAUAUCUGCCUUUUGGUUCGGAAUAACUCCGGGAAACUGGAGCUAAUACCGGAUGGUUCCUACGGGAUAAAGAUUUAUCGCCAAAAGAUGAGUCCGCGUACGAUUAGCUAGUUGGUGAGGUAAUGGCUCACCAAGGCGACGAUCGUUAGCUGGUCUGAGAGGACGAUCAGCCACACUGGGACUGAGACACGGCCCAGACUCCUACGGGAGGCAGCAGUGGGGAAUAUUGGACAAUGGGGGCGAACCCUGAUCCAGCCAUGCCGCGUGAGUGAUGAAGGCCUCGGUUGUAAG
rnacentral:rRNA from 1 species